UGAGAUUUUAGAAACCAGUUUUGUGAAAACAUGUUCAAUAAUAGACAAGACAAAAUUGAAAAAGGUAAAAACUUUGUUAUAACAUGUGAAAGGACAUCAGAAGAUCCUGCCAACAUAGGUUGUUUGCCUUUGUCCAUGAAGGAACUCAAUGAAGCAUUUUCCUAAUCUAUUAUACUUGCAUUGCAUCUCUAAUAGUGUUUGUUGGUUUUGCUUAAGAACAUAGAGAUCAAUUAAAAGAAGAUCAAUUAAUUGAAAAUAUCAAAAGAGAAAGUAUUUUUGUUGGCUUUGCUUAAGAACAUGGAACUAUUAGAGUAUAAGUAAUCUAUGAAAAGUUUCUCCAAAAAAACAGAGUAUUAAAAUCAAAAGGCAGCCUAAAACAUGUUGAACUCAUAGAAUUAGAUUGCAAGUUAAAUACCAAAAACAUCAUAGCCAUAGUCAUACCUACCAACAUUGAACUCAGUAGCAAUAGUCAAGGCCAUUUUUUUCUAAAGUUUUUAGCAAGUUUAUAGCCAGAAUGAUGAAGAAGACACCAUUUUUAUAAAUACCUGAAAGCUGGUGAUGUAAAAGCUAACAAAUAAUCAGUAUUCACUAAUUGCAUACAAAUGAUGGUUUAGAAAAGCACAAAAAAUAAGACCACAAAGCCAUCAAUUUUUCAUAGAGACGUUUUCUCAAACACUUUGAGUGCUCUUACUUUCACAAUCAAAUGAGAGUUUUCAAAUACAAUCAAAGCUAGGUAAAUGAAAAGAAAAAUGAAAUAUGGAAAUGAACAUUGAAGAAAUUGCAGAAGUAUAGUAAAUAGCUAUGAAAAUAUACCUUUAAACUCCAUUUCUCUUAACAGCAGCAACAAAACCAAGAGGAAAACCUGGAAGUACAAAAAAGUAACAGAAAAAUGCAAAAAUUAGAAAUAAAAAUUGAAAUAAAAAAAACAAAUUAAGAAAAACUAUAAAAUAGUGCGAAAAGAGAUCGAGACCUGUAGACAGGAGAUUGAAAAAAAUGAGGGAUUUCAAAAAGGGAAGAAAAAUGGAGCUCAUCAAGCUUUGGAGUAUAGAGAGAGAGAUGAGAGUUUGAAAUUUGAAAUUGAGAAUUGGUUUUUGAAAGUGGCUGAAUGUGUACUUCAUAUCCAUUAUAUGCAUAAUUGUUUUUGUCCAACACAGAUGAUAAUUUGUCCUAUGGUUAAAAUUUUGUUUCUGUUUGACUCCUUUUUUUGGUCUGACGGUCAGAUUUUGGUUGUUUUGCACAUGAGUGAAAGUGACGGGUCCUCCUUAUUAGCUUCAGCCCUCCAAAAGGGAAAUUCAAACAUUUGAAUUUUACUUCCAAUUCAAGCAAUCAAAUUGGCAAAGACAAAAGUCGCUCUUUUAUUUUCUUCAAAAGUUUGAUGGCUUUGUGGUAAUUAAUGCAUUCAAGUAAAAACCAUAUUUUAAAAAAUGAGAUUAUUUUGAAAAGUCCUAAACUACACAACAAAGCCUUUCUUUUAUAGACUAAUAAUCAUUUAGUUCUAAUGACAUAUACAACUAUACAAUGUAACACAUUAAAAAACUCUAAUUAAAACCUUAAAUCAAAAUAAUACAUAGUAAAUAAGCUUACCUAAUAUACUGAUCAUGAGGCAUGUAAAGUUCAUUGAGAGGAUCGAAGUAGCCAAAUGGUAUACAAAAGCAAAAGAAAAAUUGAAGUUAGAGUUUGGAAGAGAAAAAACAAAAAAAGAAUGCUAAGAAAGCUAAUAGACCUAGUUUAUCCUCAUUAACCAUGUCAUUAUCUUUUUGUUUGCUACUUCAUUGUCAUUGCUAACUUAUUAGAAGAAUUAACCAUGUCAUUAUCUUUUUGUUUGCUAUUUCCCUGUCAUUGCUAACUUGUUAGAAGAAAGUAUUGGAGNNNNNNNNNNNNNNNNNNNNNNNNNNNNNNNNNNNNNNNNNNNNNNNNNNNNNNCUGAAUAACACUUUUCCAUUGGUAUGAAGAUGCCUCGGACAUGGUAAGCAAAAGUCUGAAGCUAUUCCCUUGUCAGAACCACGUAUAGCUUCUGCCGAAAUAAGGAUUAGAAAAUUGAGGAUUAAAAGAAAGAAACUCAAAUUAAUUUUUACCAGAAAAGAAGUCACAAACAAAAACACAGACAUGCAGCAACAUAAUAUAUACAUGAAGCUAUACAUGUGCAUAGAUGACAAUUUUUCAUCAAUGAAGAAUUGAACAAAAGCCUUGAAAUAGCAAUUUGUCUUUAAAACUGAAAACGAAAAAGAAUCAAAGAAAAAUUUAAUUGCAAAAAGAAACUACCUAGAAAAGAAAUUUUCACCUAGCUUCCUUCCAAUUUUUUCCUGUUGUGGAUGAACAAAACAGAGAGAAAGAGAACAAUAACUGAGAAAAAAAAUAGAAAUCAAGCGAGAAUAAAAGCAAGAAAGUGAAAAUUAUUUUCUAUCUCUCUCACCUGACUGUGUUGCGAUUCCUCCGCUAGGUUUUGAGGAAUGAAAAUUUUACCUCCUCGUGAGAGUAUCUGCAAAACCACAUAGAAAGAAAGAUUAGAAAAAUAGGGAUUAAAAACAGGUUGAAGCAAAUUAAGGAUUUCGAAAAGAAAUUGAAGAAAGAAGAAGGAAUGGUGAAAUUAGUAUCUGAGUUUUUGUUUCAGGCGAGAGGAUCGUUGUCGGCGGUUGUUUGCGGAGAGGAAGAAAGAAGAAGGAAUGGUGAGAUGAUAACGGUGAGGAUGGGACGGUGGUGAGAUGGUGAGGAUGGGACGGUGGUGAGAUGGUGAUUUUUGUGUGAAAUGGUGGUGGUGAAGGGAGGAUGAGAUAUGGAGAGGAAGGAGAAAGAACACGUUAAUGUUGUUCCGCUGAAAAAAAA
rnacentral:lncRNA from 1 species